AACUUAUUGUUGAGGAAGCCUCUUGCUGUUUGAAGGAGAGGCUGCUCUGGUAUUUCACAGCACACUGAGCUGCUCACAGAGGUUUGGUGGAUGAAGAUUGUCUUGCUGUGUUCUUGGGCCAAUAGAAAGGCAGCUGCUGGCAGUCAAGUUAUGUGAAAGAAAUAAAGAAGUGUGUCUGUGUAAAAGGAGGCACAGAGGGACAUCUGUCCAGGAAGUGAAGACCAGAGUCAGGGGACCUUCAGAACCUGUCUUUCCUUCACAUGGCUGAAAGCCUGUGAAAAUUGAUGUAAAUGCUUAUGAAAUAGCGGAGAAAGGACAAAUGAGCACUUCGACAAAGAAAGGGGAGGGACAGGAUAUUUUGUGUUUCUUCCCACUCUGACAGUGGCUGCCAGAGGCUGCCUUUCUGCAGCAAACUUCCCAUGUUUUCUUUUUAUAAGGUUUUUGGCCACCUAUUAAUUUUCUUCAGCCUUCUCUGGUUGAUCUUGUUCUGAUUUAGUUUCCUUUUGGGCAAGGAUGUGGGUCUAAUCAUUAACUCAGCCUACAGGCUUGUUGCCUUCAAAGAGUAACUCCUUCAAUCCAGGGGGCUGCGGUGGGGAAACAAAUAUCCAACACUUUUAAAGGAAAGC
rnacentral:lncRNA from 10 species